rnacentral:piRNA from 1 species
UGGGGCUCGUGAUGGGAUUGAUCAUC